rnacentral:misc_RNA from 1 species
AAGUCGUAACAAGGUUUCCGUAGGUGAACCUGCGGAAGGAUCAUUAAAGAGAGGGACGUUCGCGUUCCGGGGGCUUCGGCCCCCUCCUUUCACCCCGUGUUUCCUUACCCAUUCGUUGCUUUUGGCAGGCCUUUGGGGUGUGCUCAUGCCGCCCGGGGGGUGUCCCCGGGGGGCGAGCGUCUGCCGAAAGCCCAUUUACUUCUUGAUCAACCGUGUUGUCGAGUGAAAACAAAAAUCAAGCAAAAAA